CGGAGCGUGGCGCAGUCUGGUAGCGCACUCGCCUGGGGGGCGAGUGGUCGGGGGUUCAAAUCCCUCCGCUCCGACCA
rnacentral:tRNA from 1 species